rnacentral:rRNA from 1 species
UACGUAGGGUGCGAGCGUUAAUCGGAAUUACUGGGCGUAAAGCGUGCGCAGGCGGCUUGCCAAGUCAGAUGUGAAAGCCCCGGGCUCAACCCGGGAACUGCGUUUGAAACUGGCAGGCUAGAGUUUGGCAGAGGGGGGUGGAAUUCCACGUGUAGCAGUGAAAUACGUAGAGAUGUGGAGGAACACCGAUGGCGAAGGCAGCCCCCUGGGCCAAAACUGACGCUCAGGCACGAAAGCGUGGGGAGCAAACAGG